GAGUCGAAAUACAACGAAAUGUAGGCAUAUCGAGACGACUAUAUAUUGCUACCAGAAUAGCCUACUAGCAGAUUUUUCUAGAACACAAUACUUAGCAGGAACAAGGUUCCAAGACUAAACUCUCUGUCAACAUGAAGAAUGUCUCAGCCAUCACACUGCUGGCAGCGCUCACAGUGUUCACACUUAUGAACUGCGGAAUUGAGGCAGCCGGAAAUCAACCGCAUCUGCGAAUACGCCGUGGUACCGGAUGUCCCGACCUAGGUCAAUGCUUCGUUAGCUGCUACAAAGAAGGCCACAUCGGAGGAUAUUGCAUUCUGCUAAGCUGUGUUUGCAUUUAGUAAAGUUUGAAGUGUACCGAGAUGUGAAUAAAAAUGGUUUCACCUGCAAACGCU